UGGAGGUAGAGCACUGUUUGGACGAGGGGCCCCUCUCGGGUUACCGAAUUCAGACAAACUCCGAAUGCCAAUUAAUUUAACUUGGGAGUCAGAACAUGGGUGAUAAGGUCCGUGUUCGAAAGGGAAACAGCCCAGACCACCAGCUAAGGUCCCAAAAUAUAUGUUAAGUGGAAAAGGAUGUGGCGUUGCCCAGACAACUAGGAUGUUGGCUUAGAAGCAGCCAUCAUUUAAAGAGUGCGUAAUAGCUCACUAGUCGAGUGACACUGCGCCGAAAAUGUACCGGGGCUAAACAUAUUACCGAAGCUGUGGAUUGUCCUUUGGACAAUGGUAGGAGAGCGUUCUAAGGGCGUUGAAGCAUGAUCGUAAGGACAUGUGGAGCGCUUAGAAGUGAGAAUGCCGGUGUGAGUAGCGAAAGACGGGUGAGAAUCCCGUCCACCGAUUGACUAAGGUUUCCAGAGGAAGGCUCGUCCGCUCUGGGUUAGUCGGGUCCUAAGCUGAGGCCGACAGGCGUAGGCGAUGGAUAACAGGUUGAUAUUCCUGUACCACCUAUA
rnacentral:rRNA from 1 species